GACGAACGCUGGCGGCGUGCUUAACACAUGCAAGUCGAACGGAAAGGCCCUGCUUUUGUGGGGUGCUCGAGUGGCGAACGGGUGAGUAACACGUGAGUAACCUGCCCUUGACUUUGGGAUAACUUCAGGAAACUGGGGCUAAUACCGGAUAGGAGCUCCUGCUGCAUGGUGGGGGUUGGAAAGUUUCGGCGGUUGGGGAUGGACUCGCGGCUUAUCAGCUUGUUGGUGGGGUAGUGGCUUACCAAGGCUUUGACGGGUAGCCGGCCUGAGAGGGUGACCGGCCACAUUGGGACUGAGAUACGGCCCAGACUCCUACGGGAGGCAGCAGUGGGGAAUAUUGCACAAUGGGCGGAAGCCUGAUGCAGCAACGCCGCGUGCGGGAUGACGGCCUUCGGAUUGUAAACCGCUUUCGCCUGUGACGAAGCGUGAGUGACGGUAAUGGGUAAAGAAGCACCGGCUAACUACGU
rnacentral:rRNA from 1 species